rnacentral:rRNA from 1 species
UGGGGAAUUUUGGACAAUGGACGCAAGUCUGAUCCAGCCAUGCCGCGUGCGGGAAGAAGGCCUUCGGGUUGUAAACCGCUUUUGUCAGGGAAGAAACGAGUUUCUCUAAUACAGAGACUUAAUGACGGUACCUGAAGAAUAAGCACCGGCUAACUACGUGCCAGCAGCCGCGGUAAUACGUAGGGUGCGAGCGUUAAUCGGAAUUACUGGGCGUAAAGCGUGCGCAGGCGGUUAUACAAGACAGAUGUGAAAUCCCCGGGCUCAACCUGGGAACUGCAUUUGUGACUGUAUAGCUAGAGUACGGCAGAGGGGGAUGGAAUUCCGCGUGUAGCAGUGAAAUGCGUAGAUAUGCGGAGGAACACCGAUGGCGAAGGCAAUCCCCUGGGCCUGUACUGACGCUCAUGCACGAAAGCGUGGGGAGCAAACA